rnacentral:snRNA from 1 species
GUACUUACGUGGCAGGGAAGAUAACUAUGAUCACAAAGAUGGCUCUCUCAGGAGAGGCUUGUAAAUUGCACUCAGACCAUUCUGACCCCUGUGAUUUCCCCAAACAUGGGAAACCCAGCUGGGUUC